UUCCAGAUUCAAACGGCUUCUAUGGGUGGAUUCACACAAAAGAAAUUAGUAGAAGAAAGAAUUUUGCUAAAUUUCUUUUCAGAAAGACUUUACUCAUUUAUCAGCAAUAAAUAGUAUCUGUUAUGAGUUAAAUUGUGUCUCCAAAAAGAUAUGCUGGGGUAAUAGCCACUGGGAACUUUGAAUGUAAUCUUAUUUGGAAAUAGGGUCUUUGCUAAUAUUAUCAAAUUAAGAUGAAGUCAUAUCAAAUUAAGUAUGACUGUCCUUAUAAGAGGAGAAGAGACACAGACACAGAGGAAAGACUGCCAUAUGAAGAUGGGGCAAGGAUUGGAGUUACAUUGCUACAAGCCAAGGAAUGCCUGGCACUACCAGAAGCUGGAGGAGACAAGGGAGGAUUAAUGUCCUUUAGGAGCUUCAAAGGAAAUAUGUCCCUCUCAACAACUUGACUUCUAAUGUUGUGAUGGUUAAUACUGAGUGUCAACUUGAUUGGGUUGAAGGAUACAAAGUAUUGAUCCUGGGUGUGUCUGUGCCAAAGGAGAUUAACAUUUGAGUCAGUGGGAUGGAAAGGCAGACGCACCCUUAAUCUGGGUGGGCAAAAUCUAAGCUGCUAGCAUGACUAGAAUAUAAGCAGGCAGAAAAAUGUGAAAAAGAGAGACUGGCCUAGACUCCCAGCCUACGUCUUUAUCCUGUGCUAGAUGCAUCCUGUCCUUGAACAUCAGACUCUUAAGUCCUUCAAUUUUGGAACUCACACUGGCUCUCCUUGCUCCUCAGCCUGCAGACAGCCUAUUGUGGGACCUUGUGAUCAUGUGAGUUAAUACUUAAUGAACUUAAUAAUAAAUUAAUAUUUAUAUAUUAAUACAUAAUGGAAUAUAUAUUCCAUUAGUUCUAUCCCUCUACAGAAUCCUAUUAGAAUGUCAAACUCUUAAAAACAUUGUUUUUUUUUUUUUUUUUUAGAGACGGUCUUGUUCUGUCACCCAGGUUUGAAUGCAGUGGCAUGAUCAUAACUAAAUGCAACCUCAAACUCCCCAGCUCAAGA
rnacentral:lncRNA from 10 species